rnacentral:misc_RNA from 1 species
AGGAUAACCAUAUUUAUAAAUGCUGAAUACAAUCAAGAAAAGUUAAGAGCACAUCCCAUCACACAUUCAACAUUGAUUCAGACAACAGGUUCAUCCACAACAUAACAAGAUAAUUAAAGACUUUACAGAGUCUUCAGCAAAAAUAAAACUACAGACGUCACGGACCAUUACCUCCACCAGUUUGAUGCAGCAUGGCAUCAAUUUCAUCUCCAUCCUCCAUCUCAAGUUCAUCCGGGGUCUGCUCAGCUCGCAGCCUGCGACCAUCAAAAAGAAAUGCAAU